rnacentral:tRNA from 2 species
GCCCCUUUAGCUCAGCGGCUAGAGCAACCGCCUUGUAAGCGGUAGGUCGCCGGUUCAAAUCCGGCAAGGGGCU